rnacentral:lncRNA from 10 species
CUUUUCAAAUUUUUAUAGGUUUUAGUCAUACACAAAGUUUUUGUGAUACAUAAUAUGGGUUGACAUCUUAAAAAACUGAAUAGCCUUUUCUUGUUAAUUUGUACCAAGAACCACAGCUUAUGUGACAUAUUUUAGGUGUUUGCUGUGGCAGCUCCCCAUUUUUGUAUACGUCUCACUAUUAGGCAACUCUGACUGUGGAAACAAACAACACCAAUACUUUAAGACUGACAGAAACAAGUAUGUAUUUAUCAAUCGCAUUAAACGAUGGUUGCAGAUUAGAUGUUGUUUUGCUGAGUUCUGCCAGCACUGCUAUUCUUCACAAGCCGUUUCUUUCCAGAAUGCAUGCUGAAGGAGCAACCCUGAUAGACGAUAUGUGGUAUGCAUGGCAGAGGGCAGAAUUUCAAGAGACAGAGGCAGAACACGACACCUAGUGAACUCCACCACUAUGUUCCUAAUGGAGAGGAAAAGGGGUCAGAGUUUUUUUUCCAAUAUAUCGAGACAGCACAAGACGGGUAGUUCAGACUAUCUCUCUACAUUGGUUGCAGUACCAGACUGGCUAGCCAUGGCGGACUUGUACUUACUAUUGAAGCUGAUUUUGCUGUCUCCUCUUCUCCGUGUAAGUUGAGUGUUGUUCCAUUCAAUGCCUGUGUUUAAGUGUCUUGGUAAUCUUGACACCUACAAAUUAUGCAGUGGAUUAACAACAUAGAACUGCUGUGUUCUUUGGCGUCCUUCUUGUAGCAGGACUCAUCAAGCCCUCAAGAACAGGACUGCUUUUAUAAAUGGAACUGAGAGAGCUCCCUUGUCCUUUCUGUCAUGUGAAGAUGCAGGGAGAAGAUAGUCAUCCCUGAACCAGAAAGCAGGCCCACACCAGACACCAAAUCUGCUGGUGCCUAGAUAUUGAACUUCCCAGGCUCUAAAACUGUAAGAAAUAAAUUUCUGUUGUUAUAAGCCACCCAGUCCAUGGGAUUUUGUUAUAGGAGCCCAGUAGAAUAAACAAGGGUACCUAUCUGUGCUUUUUAAAAAUACAUAUUUACUGGUUUUUAAAUUAAUUUGUCUAUAUUUUAACUACAUAAAUACACGUAAGUUUCCCUUCUGAAAAGAUAAGGAAGUAAACCAAAUUUUAAAAAUGUGAAUAUGUGAGUAAGUGUCUUGAAACAAAGUCCAGGGAAAAUGCAGGAGCCAUAUUCCAAGAAAUACUGCAUUAUCAAUGCUCUCAUUCUGUAGUACAAAAAAUAAUGAUUUUUCUUUUUAUUUUUAAUGCAGAAAUUAAAGUACCUUUUUACAAGCAAUAGAAUCUUUGAUUUGGUAAAAUCAUAGCACUCUAAACUUUUUUAUAUGAAAGAAACAUCUAUAAAUUAAAGGUGUCUUCAAAAGUAAAAGUAGAAUUGAACGUAUAUUAAAGCAAAAAUUAUAUAUACAUGUAUGUAUUUGUGUGUAUACGUGUGUGUGUAAGUUUAAAGUUUCUUGCUGUAUUAGGAUUCUAAAUAAAAACAAUUCGUCAACCCUCAAGUUUUUCCAUGUAGACCUACUCUAAAGAGUGAUUUCAUUUUUGAUUUAUUAAUUUAAACUGCAUGAAAUUACUGGUAUUUGGGCAAUUUUGACCUACAAAAGCAGCAGUUUCAUAAGGUCCAGCUAAUAUUUCCAAAUACUCAAAUGUCUCAUAUGUGAUAGAGCAUUAAAUACAAUUCUGUAUAUUCUGCCUUCAUUAUUCUGGGUCUUUACCGGGAAAGCCUCAUGGGUCUAAACCUUACUUAAUCAAUGUGAGAGAAGUAAUUCUCACUCAGAGAGGCUAUUGGGGACAGGAUGGCUUUGUGUGACGACAGGGACAAAAGAGUAAGGCAUAUCUCACUUACCUGCCUUUAGUUCCUAACUAGUUGUUUUGAAUGGAGAUGAAUACAUGUGUUUGAGAACACAUACAAUUUCAAACAUCCUUUGUAUACAAUUUCCUUUUUUUAAACCUAUUUUUAUGGAUUAGAACCGUAAUAAUAUAAUGCAAAUUGAGCAGCAUUGAAACUCACCUCCCAGAAUGUAAGAUAUCUAUGUGAGCUUGAUCUAGCCUAUAAAAGAAAACAAAGCAUCCAUUCUGCUGAUGGAAUCUUGUAAAUAAAAUAUUCAUGGCAAAAGAGAGGUAACAGAGGAGCUAGACAAACAGAUCAGCUGAGUUUAUGAUCUUUUUUUUUUUUUUUUUUUUUUGAGACGGAGUCUCGCUCUUUCUCCCAGGCGGACUGCAGUGGCGCUAUCUCGGCUCACUGCAAGCUCCGCCUCCCGGGUUCACGCCAUUCUCCUGCCUCAGCCUCCUGAGUAGUUGGAACUGCAGGCUCCUGCCACCGUGCCCGGCUAAUUUUUUGUAUUUUUAGUAGAGACUGGGUUUCACCGUUUUAGCCAAGAUGGUCUCAAUCUCCUGACCUUGUGAUCCGCCCGCCUCGGCCUCCGAAAGUGCUGGGAUUACAGGCGUGAGCCACCGCGCCCGGCCAGUUUAUGAUCUUGACAGAAGACAGUAGUUUUCUGGAUUGAACACAGAUCACGUCAGAGGGAAGCAAUGGUGGCUCCACACAAAAGAGAAGUAGCAUGCAGUUACAGAGCGCCAGGCAAAACACCUUGACGCUCCACACCGUGGUCUUAUCCUGAAAACCUUUCCGCUAUCCCUGUGAUGUCUUCCUCCUCCAAAUUUUAUCAAUAUCUUGCUAAAUUCUUGAGACAUAGAGACUACACUCCCAGUGUGUCCGGAAUUGGUGGGUUCUUGGUCUCACUGACUUCAAGAAUGAAGCCGCGGACCCUGGCGGUAAGUGUUACAGCUCUCAAGGUAGCGCAUCUGGAGUUUGUUCCUUCUGAUGUUCGGAUGGGUUUACGAGUUUCUUCCUUCUGGUGGGUUCGUGGUCUCGCUGGCUCAGGAGUGAAGCUGCAGACCUUCGCGGUGAGUGUUACAGCUCUUAACGCAGCGCGUCUGGAGUUGUUCGUUCCUCCCGGUGGGUUCGUGGUCUCGCUAGCUCAGGAGUGAAGCUGCAGACCUUCGCGGUGAGUGUUACAGCUCAUAAAAGCAGUGUGGACCCAAAGAGUGAGCAGUAGCAAGAUAUACUGCAAAGAGUGAAAGAACAAAGAUUCCACAGUGUGGAAAGGGACCCGGGCUGGUUGCCACUGCCGGCUCUGGCAGCCUGCUUUUAUUCUUAUCUGGCCCCACCCACGUCCUGCUGACUGGUAGAGCCGAGUGGUCUCAUUGACAGGGCGCCCAUUGGUGCGUUUAUGAUCCCUUAGCUAGACACAAAGGUUCUCCACCUCACCACCAGAUUAGCUAGAUAGAGUAUGGACACAAAGGUUCUCCAAGGCCCCACCAGAGUAGCUAGAUACAGAGUGUGGAUUGGUGCAUUCACAAACUCUGAGCUAGACACAGGGUGCUGAUUGGUGUGUUUACAAACCUUGAGCUAGAUACAGAGUGCCGAUUGGUGCGUUUACAAUCCCUGAGCUAGACAUAAAUGUUCUCCACGUCCCCACCAGACUCAGGAGCCCAGGUGGCUUCACCCAGUGGAUCGCGCACCAGGGCUGCAGAUAGAGCUGCCUGCCAGUCCGGCGCCCUGCGCCCGCACUCCUCAGCCCUUGGGUGGUCGACGGGACUGGGCGCCGUGGAGCAGAGGGCGGCGCUCAUCGGGGAGGCUCGGAGGGCACGGGAGCCCGUGGAGGGCGUGGGAGGCUCAGGCAUGGCGGGCUGCAGGUCCCAAGCCCUGCCCUGCGGGAAGGCAGCCAAGGCCCGGUGAGAAAUCGAGCGCAGCGCUGGUGGGCUGGCACUGCUGGGGGAUCCAGUACACCCUCCGCAGCCGCUGGCCUGGGUGCUAAGCCCCUCAUUGCCCGGGGCCGGCAGGGCCGGCCGGCUGCUCCAAGUGCCGGGCCCGCCAAGCCCACGCCCACCCGGAACUCCAGCUGGCCCGCAAGCGCCGCGCGCAGGCCGGGUUCCCGCUCGCGCCUCUCCCUCCACACCUCCCUAGAAGCUGAGGGAGCUGGCUCCGGCCUUGGCCAGCCCAGAAAGGGGCUCUCGCAGUGCAGCGGUGCGCUGAAGGCCUCCUCAAGUGCCACCAAAGUGGGAGCCCAGGCAGAGGAGGCGCGGAGAGCGAGCGAGGGCUGUGAGGACUGCCAGCACGCUGUCACCUCUCACCAACAGCAAAGGUGACCAUUAUUCCCAGCUUCCAGAGGCCACUCCCAUUCCUUGGCUUGUGCCCCACCCCCUUCUUUUUCAUCUUCAAACAUGACAAUGAAAAGAAUUUUGAGUAUACUGGCUUGCAUCUGAUCCUCCCCUUGUGGCCAGAGCAUUGUAGUAUCAAGACAAUUAGUCCCUAAUGAAACAACAAGAAAUCUCAAGAUAGGCAGAAGCCAACCAAGCCAUCUGCUAUGGAAGCUGAAGAAGGCUGGAUAAUCCCUUCCUUUUGGCAACAUGUUUACUGAGCUCAACAGCCAUGUGCCUUCCCUCUCUCCCACCACUAACGACUUUGAAUCUUGAAUAAAUGAAGCAAAAGCGCAAUGACAUUUAGAGAUUUUUGAUAGCAGAAUCGACAGAGUGGAGUGUCUAAUAACACAGUACCAAGUGUGCCAGUGAAAUGGAAUCCAGCAGGACAGUGGCAGCAGUCCAGACAUAGUGGCUACAGUGGACAAGGCCGUGAGCGUCCUGUCAGAUAGCAGCAGUGCUCUGAGGUGGAUAAUUAUGGAAGUUCUGUGGCUCUCUUGAUUUUUAUUUAAUUCUUACUGAGCUUGAUUUUCAGCAACCUUUUCCAUGUUUGGAGCAAUUGAGUUCUCUGCCAAUAAAUUUCAUUUCUGUUUAAAUUAAUGAGUUAUAAUCAUAUUCAAGUAAGAAUUGUGACCUAUUCAGAAUUAUAUGAGAUAAAUCAGUACUGGGGCAAGAGGAGAACAUGGAAAUCCAGCAGCCCUUGCUAUGUAUUUUUCCAGCAAUUAAUAAAUGUCACCUGAAAUAAAGUUUUCAUUAAAGGUCAGUCUUAUGGAAUCAAUGUCAACCAGUUCUACACAGCACAUAUGUCUCAAGGGCAUGGAAAACAUUGGAAAGUGUGAAAGCAAUGGAUAGCUGAAGGGAAGAAAAUGACAAUCUAAGGGCCAUCAUUUCUCAACUGAAGUGAUCUGAAGCCUUGCAAUAGUAUUGCUUUAGAGGAUUUCUGCUUUAGAAUAUCUCUUUACUGAGGCAAAUUAAUGCAAUUUCUCGUACUUGAUGUGCAACUUAAUCUGACAAAUGGGCUUCCUAUAUAUCAAUAAACAGAGAACACAGGAAGCAAAUGCUACAAUCACA